rnacentral:tRNA from 1 species
AAGGCUAUAGUCAAAUUUAUGACAUAUGAGUUGCAUUCAUAAAGUGUUUUCAGGAACUAGCUUUA